CCUGGACUCGCCGCCUCCAGAGUCCUCGGUUCAGUUCCCUGUCCUGCCUCUUGCCAGGUGUCUGGCCUUGGUGCCCAGAAGCCUGUUGCCCCCAUCCCAGCAGCUCUGAAGAAUAGAGCCCCUUUCGAUCUGUCCGUUCGGAGCCAGCACAGCUCUGGGUGCUAUGGCGACAGCGGGAACGAGAAAGACCCGUCUCUUCUCAUGGAGCUCACAUUCCGGUGCCAGCAACACACAAGUCACCCGACAAGAGAGACAACUCAGGACCUCUGAGCAGGGGCAAAGCUAGCCAGGACGAUGCAGGUGGCCCUUCCCCUCCAUACCUCAUACAACUUGGCUCACAUGGCCUCUUUGGGGGUCUGAAAAAGAUGCCCCUCUGGGCUGAGCAGCCCCACAAUCUCACAACUUGUUAAGUGGAGCAUGGAUUGACUUUCAGCUUCUACUGACCCUUUGGGCCAGGCACACUUGUUCAGUGAACAAUCAGCCCAACCAUACAUGGCAGCUGUGACCACAGACAUUGUCUUUAUCUGAGUCUCACAGGAAGCCUUAUGAGACAAGCAGGGCGGAUACUGUUGCUCCAUUUUGAUGAGGAGAAAACUGGGGCCCAGAGAUGUGUCAAGGUCACACAGCAAGUAAACAGGAGCACCAGUGCUCACCAAGUCCUUUGCACUUCCCGCCUCAUCUCUGUCAGUAGGAAACAGCCCAGGGGACUAGUCCCCACGUUGCUGUUCUUUGGCUCCUAGCCAACCACUUGUAGCUAGAUAAGGGACCCCAGACUUGUCUGAAAGUUCUGGGCCUUUCUGCUCCCAUCUGUACUGUGAAAUGCUUUUUGUCACGUCUGAGCCCAUUUUCCUGCCUUAAUUAGCAAAACGUGAUGACUUGUUUUUGACACUGAAGAAUUGCUCUGGGACCCUCCGUUCGCCCUGUGGGUACAGACACGAGGCUCAGCACGUCUGAUCCCAGGCAACUCAGGGCAUUUGUGGGUCGGGGACAAUUUUGUCCUGGAUUCAUAGUAACAACUUUCAGUUAUUGUUUUCUUUUUCUCCUUCUCCUAAAGAGGAUUUGAAAUAAACACAAGUUAAUUGAAAGGUACAUUUGGAGGCACAAAGGAGGUCUUUCUGGAUUUCAGGGAUGAGGAGGUCAGGGCUCUGAGAGGGCUGGAGCACCCCAUCUUUCAGUUCAUUUCAGUUCUGCAAGCUCCCCCUCCUGGGUCACGCCCGGCCAUCCCACCUCUCAGCUCCGGCGCAGAGCAAGCUCCUCGGCCCAAUCAUGCUCUACGUGACGAUCAUCCCCCAUCCUUUGCUCCCCACCCCACCCCGUUCCACGUCCCUCUUGGCUGCUUGGCUCCGGCAUCAUCAGCUGAACUGUUCCUGCCCAGCUGCACCUGAGGAGAGGAGCCGCAUCCGCUCCUGCACUUGCUUUCCAUGAUGAGUCUCUGCACUUGGAGCUGAUGCUGCAGUGGGAUGAGCCUUUGGGGGCCUUGGGGAGGGGGAGUGUGUUUCUGCACGUGGGAGGGUCACACAUCAUCGGGGGAGGAGGGAGCGCUGUAGGUGUUAGCCUCUCGCCUCCUGAUCGUCGUGCCCUGGCUAGUCCCCUCACACAUUGAAUGAGGACUGACCCUUGUGACAAAACAGCAGAAGUGAUAGGAUGUGACUUCCAAGGGUAGAGCAUCAUAGGCAUUGCUGCCUCUGCCUUGGCCUCUUGAAUCCCUUGCCCUGGGGGAAGCCAGCAGCCAUGUCCUGUGGAUGCUCAAGCAGCCUCGUGGAGACACCCACGUGGAGAGGAGCUGGGACCUGCCACCAAAAGCCAUUGAGCCACCUUGAAACUGGAUCUUCAAGCCCCAGUCCAGCCUUCAUAUGAGUAUGGCCCAACCAACAUCUGACUGCAACCUCACAGGAGACCGCAAGCUAGACCUGCCUAGCCAAGGCACUCCUGAAUUCCUGAGCCACAGAAACUGUGAGAGCUGAUAGGUGAUUACUGUCAUUUUAAACCACUUGUUAUGCAGUAUUUGGUCACUAAUACAUCAUUACCCACUAUCAGAAGUUCCA
ensembl:lncRNA